rnacentral:rRNA from 1 species
UGGCCAGACUCCUACGGGAGGCAGCAGUGAGGAAUAUUGGUCAAUGGGCGAGAGCCUGAACCAGCCAAGUCGCGUGAAGGAUGACGGCCCUACGGGUUGUAAACUUCUUUUGUCAGGGAGCAAUUGGGUCCACGCGUGGGCUUAGCGAGAGUACCUGAAGAAAAAGCAUCGGCUAACUCCGUGCCAGCAGCCGCGGUAAUACGGAGGAUGCGAGCGUUAUCCGGAUUUAUUGGGUUUAAAGGGUGCGUAGGCGGAUUGAUAAGUUAGAGGUGAAAUGUCCGAGCUCAACUCGGGAACUGCCUCUAAUACUGUUGAUCUAGAGAGUAGAUGCGGUAGGCGGAAUGUAUGGUGUAGCGGUGAAAUGCUUAGAGAUCAUACAGAACACCGAUUGCGAAGGCAGCUUACCAAUCUAUAUCUGACGUUGAGGCACGAAAGCGUGGGGAGCAAACAGGAUUAGAUACCCUAGUAA